rnacentral:lncRNA from 1 species
GAAUGCUGGACCAAAGAGGACAUCGACACUGCUUGCCCAUCCCAGUGUUCUUACAUGGAUGCAAUCAAUGAGGAUUCUAAACCAAGGCGUUAUCCCCAGCAGCUUGGAGUUUCUCUAUUUCUUUGUUUGACUUUAUAAUGGCAUACAUUUCAUAAAAGUGACAUACUAAAUGAUCUCUGAUAUUAUGUACAGGAUGGCACGAAGUGGACAUUUAAAGGCUCUUUGGAAAGUCAGUUGGAUGGUGUUUUGCUGGGGCAAACACGUGAAGGAACAUUUAGCUGAAGUGGACACAGGUGAAAGGAU